CCUACGGGAGGCAGCAGCUAAGAAUAUUCCGCAAUGCGCGAAAGCGUGACGGAGCGACGCCGCGUGGGCGAUGGAGGCCGGAAGGUUGUAAAGCCCUUUAGCGCGCGAGGAAUAAGGCCGGGAGGGAAUGCCCGGCAGGUGACUGUAGCGCGAGAAUAAGCACCGGCUAAUUACGUGCCAGCAGCCGCGGUAAU
rnacentral:rRNA from 1 species